rnacentral:rRNA from 1 species
CUGGCGGCGUGCUUAACACAUGCAAGUCGAACGGUGACAUCAGAGCUUGCUCUGGUUGAUCAGUGGCGAACGGGUGAGUAACACGUGAGUAACCUGCCCUUGACUCUGGGAUAACUCCGGGAAACCGGGGCUAAUACCGGAUACGAGACGCGACCGCAUGGUCGGCGUCUGGAAAGUUUUUCGGUCAAGGAUGGACUCGCGGCCUAUCAGCUUGUUGGUGAGGUAAUGGCUCACCAAGGCGUCGACGGGUAGCCGGCCUGAGAGGGCGACCGGCCACACUGGGACUGAGACACGGCCCAGACUCCUACGGGAGGCAGCAGUGGGGAAUAUUGCACAAUGGGCGAAAGCCUGAUGCAGCGACGCCGCGUGAGGGAUGAAGGCCUUCGGGUUGUAAACCUCUUUCAGUAGGGAAGAAGCGAAAGUGACGGUACCUGCAGAAGAAGCGCCGGCUAACUACGUGCCAGCAGCCGCGGUAAUACGUAGGGCGCAAGCGUUGUCCGGAAUUAUUGGGCGUAAAGAGCUCGUAGGCGGUUUGUCGCGUCUGGUGUGAAAACUCAAGGCUCAACCUUGAGCUUGCAUCGGGUACGGGCAGACUAGAGUGUGGUAGGGGUGACUGGAAUUCCUGGUGUAGCGGUGGAAUGCGCAGAUAUCAGGAGGAACACCGAUGGCGAAGGCAGGUCACUGGGCCACUACUGACGCUGAGGAGCGAAAGCAUGGGGAGCGAACAGGAUUAGAUACCCUGGUAGUCCAUGCCGUAAACGUUGGGCACUAGGUGUGGGGCUCAUUCCACGAGUUCCGCGCCGCACGUAACGCAUUAAGUGCCCCGCCUGGGGAGUACGGCCGCAAGGCUAAAACUCAAAGGAAUUGACGGGGGCCCGCACAAGCGGCGGAGCAUGCGGAUUAAUUCGAUGCAACGCGAAGAACCUUACCAAGGCUUG